CGGCGACUUUCUAGGAAGCGCCACUCGCUGGUGGGAAGUCGGCUCCGAGUCCCGCGGGGCCCCUCGCGCAUGCGUCCCCGAGCCUCGCGCGUUCAGAGGCGGCGACCUGGGCGGUGGCCGGCGCGUCCGCACAGCGGUGAUUUCGCAGGAAUUUGGAGACAGAAAUAGAUCACUCACUCUGAGGGAGGCCAGCUGUCACAUUGUGAGGAGUGGCCCACAUCGUGAGGAAAUGAAACCCCCGCCAACAGCCAUUUGAAUGAGUUUAGAAGUGCAUCCUCCAGCCCCCAGUCUAGCCAUCAGAUGACUACAGCCCAGGUCACAGACCCAAAGCCAACAGCUGAGCUGCUGUCAGAUUCCUGAUCUGCAGAAACUGUGUGAGGAAAAGAAAAGAAAUGAAAAAAAGAAAAAAGGAAAAGAAAGAAAAAAGAAUUGUUUGAAAAUUUGGAAAGGUGAGUACACUGAAGUAGAAUAAAAAAAUGAUGGAAGUUAAGUAGAAUUUGAAAAAAUUUACACAAAAGUAAAAAAUACAGUAAUAAAAAUUAAAGACAUAU